UACCAGGAAAACGCUCAAGGUAAAAACUCAUAUGAAGCAAAAACUGGCUCUUCAGUCUUUCCUGGUUUCCAAAAGAGAGGAGCCCUUGGAAAACGAGAACCGCUGGCUCAAACAUCUUUGGAGUUGGCAAUUCCAGGAGAUUGGGUGCCUGUUAAGUCCUGGAAGGUUCAGAGUGGGAAGGACCUUAUCAGAUGUUACUGAUGACCGAGACCCUGGUCCAGGCUGAGAAGAGCCGGUGAACCAAACUAGCUACUGAACUCCUAUUCCUCCCAAUACUGACUCUGGUUCUUCACUCUACUGGGAGACAAUCUACAUGGAGACUGUUGCCACAGGAUCCAGAAGGGGAGAUUGUUGCCACAGGAUCCAGGAGAGGAGACUGUUGCCACAGGAUCCGGGAAUGCCUGCCCUGUCCAUGCAGGAGCCUACUAAGACAACCCAAGAGGGAUUAGGUCAUGGUCCAGCCCACCCAUGUAUGGAAAGCAUGGGCUUUAUCCAGUGUGUUGAGCCUCUUUAUGGGGAGGGGGAAGUGAGGAGAAUUGGCACUUGCAAGCAUUCUUCCUCACUUUGAAAUGAAUUAAAAUUCUGUUUGAUCCCUGA